UCUGCAAUUAUCGGAAAAUAAGUGUAAUUAGAAAAAGAGGAAGGAAGGAGAAAACUUCAGAGCUGGCCACUCACGGAAGUCUGCGGGGACGGGGAGCCAGCCAGGAGUGGACAGCGGAGUUGGAUCAAUGGUGGGCCAGGGGCGCUCGGCUGGGCCCGCUCUGUGAGCACAGUGACUUCUGGGCCCACCACGAAGCCAGCUGCCAUGUUGUGGAGAGAUCCAGGCAGCCAUGUUGGAAGAGGACCUUGGAGCCCCAGUCAAGCCUUCAGAAGAGAGCAGGGCUGACACCCUGACUGUGACCUCAUGAGAGAUUGUGACUCAAAAAAUCACUCAGCUAAGUUGCCCUCAGAUUCCCGACCAAUAAAACAGAUAAUAAAUGUU